UCCAGUCCCGACAGACCUCACUGUCGGGCCAGACAAUGAAAGAGGCUUGGCUCCUCCUCUUCUUCCUCCCCUCGAGAAUAGUGACAGUUCCUCUAGUGAGAGUGCCGGCCCUCCUCCUCCUCUCUAGAAAACCAAGCGGAUGACUGCCAGAGACCAAGCGGCCUCAUGAUAGCGACCCACCUUCUGUGAACACUGAUUAUUCAACUCUCCACAGGAGCCAGACAAAGGACCUGAGCCCUAGGACCAUGCCUCGGGACGACCUGACAUGAUGACUCC